rnacentral:lncRNA from 1 species
AAAAAAAAACAAUUAAAAAUAAAAAAUUUAAAUAAAAUUAAAGACAAAAAAAAUAAUAAUAAAUUGACAGACUAAAACAAUAUUUUAUUCUACAUUUUCAAAAAAAGGUGAAAUGUCAAUUUUAAAAGAAACCCAAGUUACCUGUACAGGUAAAUUUUAUUGAAAUAUACCAGCUGAAAACUUCAUCCCUGAUUGAUUUUAACAGGUAAUAACUAGAUAAAAAAUCUACCUAUGAUUUAUGACCCCAACAAAUGGCCAACAUCUCAAAAUUGAAUACCCC